rnacentral:rRNA from 1 species
AUGUACAUUCAUACAACAUAGAGUUAAUGCAUCCGAUCCCAUUAGAACUCCGCAGUUAAGUGUGCUCGUGCUAGAGUAGUACUGGGAUGGGUGACUGUCUGAGAAGUCCUAGUAUUUUACAUG